GAUGAAGAACGUAGCGAAAUGCGAUAAGUAAUGUGAAUUGCAGAAUUCAGUGAAUCAUCGAAUCUUUGAACGCACAUUGCGCCCAUUAGCAUUCUAGUGGGCAUGCCUGUUCGAGCGUCAUUUCAACCCUUAAGCCCUGUUGCUUAGCGUUGGGAGCCUACAGUACUGUAGCUCCCCAAAGUUAGUGGCGGAGUCGGUUUCACACUCUAGACGUAGUAAUUUUUUCUCGUCUGUAGUUGAGCCGGUCCCCUGCCGUAAAACACCCAAUUUAUCAGGUUGACCUCGGAUCAGGUAGGAAUACCCGCUGAACUUAAGCAUAUCAAUAAGCGGAGGA
rnacentral:misc_RNA from 1 species